AGCGAGGUAGAACAAUGGCAGUUCGCCGCAGAUAGCGCGGAGAUGCAGGUUCGACUCCUGCCCUCGUUC
rnacentral:tRNA from 1 species